rnacentral:lncRNA from 1 species
AGGGAUUUUGCUCAAGAUCCCCCUGUACCCAAGGCUUUCUGAAGCAGCUGUGCCACCCUGUGUCUGCGAGCUGGGAACAUCCCAUUCACAACCGACCUGCCCCUCACUGGGACUGAGAAGUACUCACUACCUGUGGCAGAUUAACUGAGGGUGUGUGGUGGAUGGGUGGUGAUGGGCUCUCCUCCAGUGCACGGCUUUGAUUUAUUGGUGCUUCCUGACCCUGACAGCUGGCUCUGUGCCGUGCACAGCAGUCCUUGGAUCAUCAUGAGAGAAGGCAUAGUGAGAAGCCAAAUGCAUGGAAGUCAUGCCUUGUAGCAGAGCUUGAAGGCAUUAUCACCAGUGGCAAACUGUGACAAUAUGGACCUGCUGACCCCGUAUUGCCCCAGGAGCUGUGCAGGGGUGAGUGAGGACCUGCUGUCACAUCCCACUUUGCUGUUGUCCAAUGGAAUCCAACUGUGGUCCUGGACAUACAUGAAGGUUUUGUCCCAGAGACAAGCUCCACUCCUUGCCUUGUGCUCAUCCCUGUGUCAAUUAGAAGAACUGAUGAUCCCUUGUAAAUGUGUAACAGCUGGGAUUACCUCUGUGGGAUGAACGUUUUGCCAACCUUGAGGUUAGUUAUCCAAAAACUCUUGCCAGAAACAACAAACCUGGCACCUGCUGUGAGUACACCUGGUGCCAAACAUCACAGCAGGGCAUGGUAAGAAGAACCCUCCAACAUCCAGCCUGCCACUGCCACCCAUGUCCAGUCAUCAGCCCAGCCCUGAGAUGGACACUGGUGUUUGAGACGGGUGGGUAUGCCUUGGAGUUUGCGUAGGGAAGGCUUGAAACUGAAAUGCAUGAGAUUGAGUGCCUUGGCUUGUUUUUCUUCUUUGCUUUGCCUUGGCUCGCUGAACAACCCCAUCUGGCUUUUCUGAACAGCAGUGUUACUCACCUUGUGCUUUAUGCUUUCCUGGGGAUCAGUAAUAAACAUCCCUUCAGUCGAUAAUGAAACAGGAAGGAAAAUUAGCGGCGCUUCUACCGUGAGCUCAAAGCCAAUCAAUCCCAGAGAAAUGCCAUGGCUCUCACACAGGGGUCAGAUACCUGCUGGGACUGAUGCCCACCUCUCCCUUCUUCAGCUUUAUACGUCCCUGUUUUUCCAACAAAUGCUAUUUUUCUCCCUAAAUUCAAACCUUUCCCAGGAGCAGAUGGCUCCUCCAUCUAUUUCUACCUUUAAGGUGACAUUUGGCAAAGCUUUAAAAUCAUCCAUGUAUUCGUUUAGAGCAGGGAAAGGCUUGGGGGGAGGUGGAGGGAGCUGAGGAAAGGCAGACCCACCUGGCUUUGGGAUGACUGCUUCAGGGAGACAAUUGCAACCCACAAAUAUUGAAUGAUAUUGGUGCCGUGGAAGGAAAUAUUUAUGGUGGAAGAGGUGGGGGGGUGAAAACAGAGGCCCAGGCUGAGGGCUAAGAAGAAGUAUCCGCCUGUGAAUUUGGCCUCCUGAGUGCAGGUGAGGUGGAAGCUCCAUCAUUUGGGGAUGCUCAGAAUUGCACUGAACAAGGUCUGAGUGAAUUCCCUCCAGGGAGCAAUCAUGCACCAGCUGAGACAGAUCAAUCCUGCCUCCACACCUCUGCCUUUCACUACAUUUUCUUGUAGAACUGUGGGUAUCACUAAGGAAAUUAUUAGACCCCUUUCCCCAUGGCUGUGUGCUGCCUCCCUUCCACAAGAGCUGCAAUGGCCCUGCCACAUUGGUUUUCCCAGGGCUGUUUGAACUCUGCGUGUAGGGAAGAGGGAUGCUCAGCCCCUGCAUUGCAGUGGGUUCUGUGGCCAUCAUGCUGCCAUUGACUGCAACCAACCCCAACAACAGGUGUCUGAGGACAACAAGCAAAGCAGUUUGGCAUCAUCCUUCCUCUGGCACCAUGGGUGUUGUCAGAGGGAUGGAUAACAAAAGAGAAAGAGAGCAAAGGAGAGCCAGAGCUGCUGGAGCGAGAUGCCUGUUGGGAGCUGGAAAAUAAUCCAAAGCCUUUCCCAGAAGAGCUCAAGGAUUAAAGCAUCCAUUCUGGGGUGGGCAGCAUGAAGGCUGGCAGUGGUUGGGCAGCACCAGAUGUGAAAAAGCUUUGUGGAAGGAAAGCCUCGGUGCCCAGAGAGAGCUGAGCUCUUGACUGAUGUGUCUG